rnacentral:rRNA from 1 species
GAUGAACGCUAGCUACAGGCUUAACACAUGCAAGUCGAGGGGAACGAUAUUGGAAGCUUGCUUCCGAUAGGCGUCGACCGGCGCACGGGUGAGUAACGCGUAUCCAACCUGCCCAUCACUUGGGAAUAACCUUGCGAAAGUAAGACUAAUGCCCAAUGACAUUUAUAGAAGGCAUCCGAAGUGAAUUAAAGAUUUAUCGGUGAUGGAUGGGGAUGCGUCUGAUUAGCUUGUUGGCGGGGUAACGGCCCACCAAGGCAACGAUCAGUAGGGGUUCUGAGAGGAAGGUCCCCCACAUUGGAACUGAGACACGGUCCAAACUCCUACGGGAGGCAGCAGUGAGGAAUAUUGGUCAAUGGGCGAGAGCCUGAACCAGCCAAGUAGCGUGCAGGAUGACGGCCCUAUGGGUUGUAAACUGCUUUUAUAAGGGAAUAAAGUGAGUCUCGUGAGACUUUUUGCAUGUACCUUAUGAAUAAGGACCGGCUAAUUCCGUGCCAGCAGCCG